rnacentral:rRNA from 1 species
CCUACGGGCGGCAGCAGUGGGGAAUAUUGCACAAUGGGGGAAACCCUGAUGCAGCGACGCCGCGUGAGUGAUGAAGGUUUUCGGUAUGUAAAGCCCUUUUAGCAGGGAAGAUAAUGACGGUAUCUGAGUAAUAAGCCCCGGCUAACUCCGUGCCAGCAGCCGCGGUAAUACGUAGGGGGCAAGCGUUACCCGGAAUUACUGGGCGUAAAGGGAGCGUAGACGGCAGAGCAAGUCUGGAGUGAAAUCCUAGGGCUUAACCACAGGACUGCAUUUGAAACUGUUAGGCUGGAGUGUGGGAGAGGUAAGUGGAAUUCCUAGUGUAGCGGUGAAAUGCGUAGAGAUUAGGAGGAACACUAGUGGCGAAGGCGGCCUACUGGACUGUAACUGACGUUGAGGCGCGAAAGCGUGGGGAGCAAACAGGAUUAGAUACCCGUGUAGUC